AUUUUGGACAAUGGGGGAAACCCUGAUCCAGCCAUGGCGCGUGUAUGAUGUAGUAAUUCGGGUUGUAAAGUACUAUUGGUAGGAAAGAAAAGGUAUCCCCUAAUACGGGAUACUGCUUCCGGUAUCCGCAGAAUUAGCACCUGCUGAACACGUGACAGCCGCCGCGGUAAGACGUAGGGUGCACGCGUUAAUCGGAAGUUCUGGGCGUAAAGCGUGUGUAGGCGGUUCGGAAAGAAAGAUGUGAUAUCCCAGGGCUCAACCUUGGAACUGCAUUUUUAACUGCCGAGCUAGAGUAUGUCAGAGGGGGGUAGAAUUCCACGUGUAGCAGUGAAAUGCGUAGAUAUGUGGAGGAAUACCGAUGGCGAAGGCAGCCCCCUGGGAUAAUACUGACGCUCAGACACGAAAGCGUGGGGAGCAAACAGG
rnacentral:rRNA from 1 species